AGCUCAGUUGGCUAGAGCGUUUGACUGGCAGUCAAAAGGUCAGGGGUUCGAUUCCCCUA
rnacentral:tRNA from 1 species